AGCUGUCUUCCCUCUGCUGUCAGACUUGGGCUAAAGCGUUGGCUCUCCCCAAGUCUUAAGUCUGCUGGCUUUUGGACUGGAACAAGCCAGCAGCCUUCCUGUGUGUCUUGAUGACUGCAGAUCUUGGGUCUGGUCGGCCUCCACGAUCAUCCAGGAGACUCUUCUGCUAUUUCCUCUUCAGCUGAACUAACCUUGUGACCUGCUUUGGCCAGCAGAAUUGGGGCAUGGUGGACACAGAUGUGGUGGCACAUGCCUGCAAUCCCAGCAGUCCAGGAGUCUGAGUAUGAGGGAUGCAAGUUUGAGCCUAACCUGAACAAGUUACAGAGAACUUGCCUCAAAAUAAAAACAAAAUAAGGAGCCAGGAAUGUCGCUUAGUGCAAAGGCCCUGGGUUUAAUCCCUGGUACUGGAAAGAGAGAGAGAGAGACAGAGACAGAGACAGAGACAGAGACAAUAGUUUACUGGAAGUGAUGUUAGUUGAGAUCUGUGCCCUGGUGCCCUGUCCCUCAAAAGUCCUGGUAGCACCUCUUGCACUCUGGGAAUACAAGAGCGCUGCCUAAGAGAGCUGAUCAGCCCGUGGAGGAGAAAGGCCAGCACUGGCUUCCAGACGUGAGCGUGAGACCCGCCCCGUCCUCCCUGUCCAGCAACUCUCCAGCCAAAGCUAGUCACAGAAGAGAGCCUAGGGGAGACCAGUGGAGAAGUUGCCAGGAGUGGGAAAGGGGCCCUUCUGAGUGCUGGUCCCCAGAAGGCGGGCGGAGCGUCGGUUCUCCUGGCUUCCUCCUUCUCUCCGCAGCAUCCCUUUCUUCCCGAUUUCCUCGCUGCCAUACUCAUGGUGACUCAUCAGAAUCCUCCAAAUUACUGCGGUUUCUGCCAUAGAUCCAAAGCAGACAGAGUCACGGUUCUCAGCAAGAACUGUGUGUGCGGCUGUGAUGGAGUCUGGAGGUGGCCGCCUCUGCUCGCCUGAGACGUGAGGCUCCCCGGGGCGGAGGCUGAAGGCAGACCCCGCUGUGUUCACCUCAACUCCUGUGCUGCCCGCCGCUUCCAAACACGAAGUCAGCCCAGGAUUCGUUCCGGUACAGAGCUCCAUCCUGUGCCACAGUCACAGAAGCUCGUGAUGGGGACCUGUAGUGGCUUCUCCAAUCACUGUGCUGGUGAUUGCGUCACCACACAGUGAGGUGCCCAGGGUCCCUUCCAGGCUCCUGUUACCUUGGUCAAAGAACUGGACGGGACAGCCCAGAAGUGCAAAAGUUUAAUUGUAUAUAGACAGUAAAAUAAGGGGAAAAAAGUGCUAAAGAAAUGAUCAAGGCAUCGUGUUGGGGAGAAACCAAGAACAUGCACCCCCGCAUGCAGAGCAGGCCACUGCAAAAAUGAGAAAGCGGUGGCCACAAGAUCAGUUUUUAGAUCUUUUUUUACAUCCGAUCUGGGCCAUCCCACUCAGGGCUUGAAGCUGCUUUUUGCGCGCAUCCUGGAUGUGACUUGACAGCUCUUGGUGACUGAGAAGCCGCAGUGGAUUAUCUAACUGACACAUCAUGUCCCACUCUCCAGCCUCAGUGCAACAUUAUAUUGAUACAGGGGAAUGAAACUCCUGACCUACUAUGUGAGGUACAAGUUCAAGUUCUCUAAAAUCGAAGAAUGAAUUUUAGGAACACAGGAGGUUAAGAGCAAAACAAUAUCACCAAAAAAAAAAAAAAAUUCCUUGUAAAAUCGCAGAUGUUUAGCAACAGGAAAAAGAUAGGAAUUUAACCAAGUGGAAUCCUACAGAACUAAAAUGAAGCAGCAAGCCCUACAUGUGUGUCUGCAUACCCUGCUGCAAUAGAGAAGCGAAGAGUACAGAAUGAGCAGGUUUACUGAACUGAGGACGAGGAAAGGAGCAUACAACCCGUGGCGGCUGGGCUGGCUCCCUUGACUGGAUACAGAGUGGCAGAGGAUUCUAUGACCUCUGAUUGAAGUGGCACAUGGGGCAGAUAUUGAUGAUGUGAGAGGAGCCGAUUGGAAUUCUCUGUGCGUGCAAACAGGAAGGAGAGAUGCUAUUAGGGCUGAGGAAGAAGCAGGAAGUGGUCAACAUUCCGCUCUGGCCUCCACCACGUUAGACCACCGCCAUGAUUGUACAGUAAUUUACACUAGGGCAAAAACUUUUCAAUGUGUUAAUUAAAUCCCAAAAUAAUGGUCAUUGCAAAAACACCAAGUUGCAGAAGUUAUAUACAGUGUGACACUAUUCAUGUAGCAAUUAAAAACACGCAAAACAACCAGACAUUCUUAUACGCAUAUGCCCUGGACAUGUGAGCAUAUUCAGAGGAGAGAGGCUGGGAACACAAGGGGCUGGGCGCCACAGACUGGUCCGCAGACAGAACUCUGAGUGGCAGAAGCCCAUUUUGGCUAACUCUGCCCUAACUCUGUGUAUUGCUGUGUACAGAGCUGGCUAGGUUAAUCCUUUACCCAGUCAACUGGCUUCACGUAAUGCAAA